CAAGUUCGGGUGAUGAUCACAAGUUCAUAGUUCAGAUGGCCAAACUGUGACUAUUUGAACAAAAUAGUCUUCCGCUCCUAGCUGAUGAGCUUU
rfam:Triticum aestivum genome assembly, contig: Triticum_aestivum_CS42_TGACv1_scaffold_160160_2DL